GACGAACGCUGGCGGCGUGCUUAAUACAUGCAAGUCAACUGAACUUAAAGUAGCAAUAUUUUGAGGGAGGUGGCGCACGGGUGAGUAACACGUAGGUAAUCUGCCUUUAGGUCUGACAUAAUUCCGCGAAAACGGGACUAAUAUCAGAUGAUGCAGCGGCUCGACAUCGAGACAGUUGUUAAACCUUCGGGGCCUAAAGAUGAGCCUGCGUCUGAUUAGGUAGNGGCGGAGUAAAAGACCCACCAAGCCUGCGAUCAGUAGCUGGUCUGAGAGGAUGAUCGGCCACACUGGGACUGAGACACGGCCCAGACUCCUACGGGAGGCAGCAGUGGGGAAUUUUUCGCAAUGGGGAAACCCUGACGAAGCAACGCCGCGUGGAGGAUGAAGGCC
rnacentral:rRNA from 1 species